rnacentral:rRNA from 1 species
CCGCCGAAGGUGGGAUAGAUGAUUGGGGUGAAGUCGUAACAAGGUAGCCGUAUCGGAAGGUGCGGCUGGAUCACCUCCUUU